GAGACUUCACAAUGAUUUGAUAACCAUGUGCAGGAUGCUGAUCUAAGCCUCUCCCAAUUCUUCGUAACCUCCCUGGGCCAGGCGGGGCUCAAUGACCUCUUCACCAGUGGCAUGGCUUCUGAGCACAUCUGGUGUCACC
ensembl:misc_RNA